GUACCUACGGGACGCAGCAGUGAGGAAUAUUGGUCAAUGGGCGAGAGCCUGGACCAGCCAAGUCGCGUGAGGGAAGACGGUCCUAUGGAUUGUAAACCUCUUUUGCCGGGGGGCAAAGAGAGUCACGUGUGACUCAUUGAGAGUACCCGAAGAAAAAGCAUCGGCUAACUCCGUGCCAGCAGCCGCGGUAAUACGGAGGAUGCGAGCGUUAUCCGGAUUUAUUGGGUUUAAAGGGUGCGCAGGCGGUCUGUUAAGUCAGCGGUCAAAGCCCGGGGCUCAACCCCGGCCCGCCGUUGAAACUGGCA
rnacentral:rRNA from 1 species